rnacentral:lncRNA from 1 species
AAGCCUAAAGUGACUCCAAAACUCAUGCAAGUUCGGCGGCCGAACAUGAGGUUCGGCGGCCGAACAUGAGGUUCGGGGGCCGAACCUGAGCCACUUUCGGAAGCCUAACUUGCCCCCCUAAACUAUCCCAUGUUCGGCUGCCGAACUUGAGGUUCGGCGGCCAAACCUGGAAAUGCCUCCAUGGUCUUUUUCAUUCAAAACUCAGCUUCUUUCUUACUUAAAAUCAUAAAAUACAUUAAAAAAUUUUAUAAAAACAUUAUCUUACCCUUCUAGAGGUUUCCGACAUCCGAGAUUCCACCGGACGGUAGGAAUUCCGAUACCGGAGUCUAGCCGGGUAUUACACAACAAUUCAAAAGAAACGCUUAGAAAUAAAGAGUAAACUCCUAACAAAGAAAAGUAAGCUCAAUCACACUACAAGGAAAACACAAGACAAAUGCAUGAUAGCACAAGAACAAGACUAUGUACUACUUGAUUAUAUGAACUUAGAGUGUAAACACAAUCAAAUAACACUCUAACAAUGUAAAGAAAAUAGAGAUGGUAAGUCUAAAAAAAAAUCCAGCAAACAAGAAUUGAGAAAUAAGCAAUUUAGGCCAAAAUAUAAGAAUUUGAAUUACUACAAAGCAAAUAAAAUAUGUAACAUAAAAUAUUUCUACCCAAUAAAGCAAGAAAGUAAUAAUACCUAAACUAAAUCAGAAUUCUCAUGUAUAAUUAAUUUUUGGAGCCAAAUUAAUUAUUUUGUAUCAAAGAAAUUUGUUUUAAGUUCUAAACAUGCACAAGUGCGUGUGUGAUCAAAUAUGACAUCAAAUUAAUUAAAACAAGAUAGAAUCAAUCCAAACAGCCCCUAAAAUAAUAUAAUCCGAAAAUUUAGGGCAUAAAAAGUAAUUUUUUUAGUAAAUGAAACCACAAGUAAUAAUUCAAUUAGGACAAGGAAAACAAAUCCGACAAAGAAAACAAAUCUAACAAGGAGAAGGAUUUUUCCAAGAUACAUCAAUGAUUCUCUUUCUUCUACUUUUUUUUUAUUCUCUUUCUUCUUAUUCUUUUAAUAUUUUGUUUAGUUUACAGAAUUGACCAAGAAUGAAACUUAAUCAAUUUAACAACCAACAUUAAAUCAACAAGGCCAAAACUCUAGAAAUAAAAAAUGCAAGAAAGCUCAAAUUUAAAACCCUAAACUAAGAUAAAUCAAAAUUUAUUUUAACUUUAGCUCUGAUUCCAACUGACAUGGUACCCUAUAGAUCAAGUUGAAGAACUCUAUAAUAAGAUGAAAUAGUUCCAAAGAUUAACAAUAAACUCCUUUUUAUGGCACCCAAGCAAAGGACACAAGAAUACCAAUAAUUGAGGAUUAGAGAAUCAAGGCAAAUGCUACAAUAGAAUUGAUAAGUUUAUCUUCAUUCUUAAUGCAAUUAGAAGAAUGCAAUCUCAUACUCUCACAAUAACAAAGGCAUGCAAAUAGUUUGAAUAAUUCUAAAUUUUUUAUUAAAAAAGUUCUCCCACGAAAUGGAUGACUUGAGUUUAUAUAGAGAAAACUAAAUUUAACCCUAAGAGAAUAAGAAUAUACUAAAUCCUCAAGUGCCCAAACAAGGCUAGUUGAAUUUAAUAGCUCAUGGCAAGGGGCGGCAAACUAAGGCCCAAACUAGGUCCAAAUAACUAAAUUGGCAAUACUAAAGCAAAUAAGAUAGCAUAAGUUUAAUCCAAAUAAAUGGGCUUAAAAAAUACAUCAUUAAGGUCCAAAUAAUAUAUAUAAUACAUCCCCAAGGCUGCCCAUGAGUUGUGCACAUGUUUCUUAAGUUGCACAUGCAUUGCAUAUGUUCCUUAAGUUGCACAUGCAUUGCACAUGUUUUUUCAAAUCUGCCCACUUGGUUUGAUGGACUUGUCCACCUUCUAAUUAGAUCCAAUGGACUUCAAUCUUCACAAAAAUCUUGCUUGAUCUUCACUUCAGACUUUCUUUUGUGUAGUUUUGACCCAUAGGCUUGAUUAUGCUCCUUAAUCCCAUAAUUGCAAGUGUUGUACCAAAUCUAUCACAUCUAAAUUAAAGCACGCUUCAAGUGUAUUUAGAUCAUAUGAAUAUUAGUUUGAACUCUUUUUAGACCUAUUUGAAUGAUAUAAGGUUUAUCCACACCAUUGUUACAAAUCUGCCCUAUUGAAAUCAUAUCAGCUUCCUUUAAGGAAAAACUCUUUUUCUAGAAAUUUAGCUUGUUUUGAAACAAAUACUUUUCUCUUAAUAGGAUGGUAGAAAUAAUAUCUAAUAGUUUUUUUGAUAUCCCAUAAACUUAUAUUUAUCUAACUUAGCUCCCAAUUUAUCAGAUAUCAUACACUUUAGAUAAGUGUUACAUUCCUAAAUCUUUAUAUGUGAUAAGACUAGUCUUUUACUAGUCCAUGUCUCAUAUGAAGUCUUAUUUAUAGAUUUGGAUGGAACUCUAUUAAGAAGGCAUAUUGCAGUUAGUAUGGCAUAACCCCAAAUGGAUAAAGGUAAAUCUGCAAGACUCAUCAUGGAACACACCAUAUCUAAUAAAGUACAAUUCCUCCUUUCUGAAAUUCUAUUAUGUUAAGGUGUUCCAGAUGGAGUUCAUACAGUUUUUACUAUGCCCAAUUCAUUCCCUUUUACUGCUCAUGAAUUAAGUAAUGUGUAAGUUGAAUCAAAACAUAGAAGUUCAUAUAUAAGAUGACUUAUUGAUUUCAAGUCAGAGUACCAUUUACACUACCAUCACUUGACUAGUCCAUAGAUACAGGUAAUUCUCCAUAUGAAAUUCUCAACCGGGUCAGUUCAGUGUACUUAUUUAUAGAAUAAGCACCUAUAUAUUUGUUCUAGAUAUCUCAUAUAUAUCAACUUAUGAGAUCAAUUGCUUUCUUUGAAAAUGAAAGAACAUAAUAUGCAUCAGUCUCUACAGCUCUAAUCAUUAUUCAAUAAUGAUAAGAAUAUGACUAGGAACAUUUAGAGAUAUUACUUAAGCGUAAUAAGAAUCUCACAAUUAUAACAACAUUAUAAUUUCCUUUGCAUAGUAAUAUAGUCUCAUGAAUUUUAUUUUUACUCAAGAUUCAAUCAAAUGAAUACUAAAGAUAAAUAAAUAUCUUUUAUUAAUAUAUUAAAUACUUAAAAUACAUUAAAAAAAUAAUAUCCAAAUACAAUCCAAAAUUUGGCUGUAGUGCAUACAACUAACACAUACAUGUAGGGAUGGCAGGCGGGCGGGUUUUUACGGUUAUCCAAUCCGUCCAAAUCCUAUUAGGACGAAUUUAGGCGAAUUCGGAUUUGAAAAAUUUUACUCGUCUCGGGUUCGGGAUUAGGUGAUCGGAUACCCGUUACUCGAACCCAGUUAGCUAUACUAACAAAACUAACCCUAAUCCCUAAUUCGUUUUUUCAUUUUACUCGAGUCAUACACUGCUCCCUCUCUCCGUCGGCGCCUACACUGCUCCCAUAAUUCCCAAUCGACGCCUUUCUCCCCCACUUCAUUGAUGACUACCAGCAGCCUAGUCGACACCGACGGCGUCUCCUUUCUCUCCCCAGCGACGAUAAAUCUUCUCUCUCCCCAGUCAGCGAUAUCUCAUUCUCUCUCCAAUCGGCGACAUCUCCCACUUUCCAGUCAACGUCUCUCUCUCCUACUUCACUGACGAGUGCCGGCAGCCCAGUCGGCACCGGCGAUGUCUCCUUUCUCUCCCCAGUCGACAAUAAAUCUUCUCUCUACCCAGUCAGCGAUAUUUCCUUCUCUCUCUCCAUUGUGGCGACAUCUCCCACUUUCCAGUCGGAGACAACUCUUCCCUCUCCCCUGUUGGCAUCGGCAACAUCUCCUUCUCUCUCCCCAGUUGGUGACAUCUACUCUUUUCAAUUGACGCUUCUCUCCCCCAUUUCACUGACGACUGCUAGAGAUAACCCUUGCCUCUCCUCAAUCGGCGUCGGCGACAUCUCCUUUGAUCGGAACUCUCUUUAGGUUUGCAAUUAAAUUUUUUGAUAAUCGAGAUCUUUUAUGUGCAUGUUGUUAAAGAAUUUUUAGUUGCUAUUAAAGAUUUUUAGAAUUUAUGGAUUAUUAAUUUGAUUAUUUGGAUACUGGUAAAAAAUCUGAUUAUUUGCUAUUUGGUUACUAUGACACUGUUGAUUUUUAGAAUUUAUGGACUAUUAAUCUGAUUUAUGAACUAAAAGUUGCUAUUAAAGAUUUUUAGAAUUUAUGGACUAUUAAUAUAAUUAUCUGAUUAUUUGCUAUUUGGUUACUCUUAAUCUGAUAAUUAAGAUCUUUUUAGUUGCUGUUAAAAUAUGUUAAUACUAUCAGAUUCCAUGCCGUUUAAGAAAAAUAUGUGUUAAUUUACCAUAAUGAUAUUUGAUGUAGUGAAGAGAUUAUAAAUCCUAAGUACCCUCUAUGUAAUCCAUCUGGUUCGUGUCAUUGAGCAUUUCUACAAUGUUUCUACUGUUGGGUUGUGCAUAUAAUGUUUCUACUGCUGGGCUGUGCAUAUCCUAUAGAUAGUUUUUGUGAAAAUUAUUGCUAAGUUCUCCGACUUGAUUUACAAUCUAUUGUUUCUGUAUUUGUUUUUUGAAGGUUUUCAAGCACAAUUUGAUAUUGGAGAUUGAAAUGGCCAAUUGAAUAUAUUUUAUGUUCAAUCAAUGUAGUUUAAUAAACUUUUGGAACAUUUCAUUUGUUCAAAAUUUUAUGUUGGAUAGAUAAUUGACUAAUGGUUGUGUUAAUGAUGAAUUUGUAAUAUAUUUAUUUUGUUUUAGUAUAUUUAAAUUUCCUAAUUUAGGUUUGUUAUUUGGGUUAUAAUAUCCAAAUCUUUAAAUUUUUUAUCGUUGAAUUGAAGUAAAAAAUUCGGAUUCGGUCGGGUUCGGGUAUUGUUAAACGGAUUUGGAAUGGGUACGAAUAUUAAAAUUAAAAUACUAAACGGGUUUGAGACGGGUUCAGAAAUUUUACAUAUAAUCGGGUUCGGAUUUGAGUACUCUCAAUUUUGCGAGUACCCUACCCGUUGCCAUCCCUACAUACCCGUUGCCAUCCCUACAUACAUGCCCUUCAACUCACAUUGCAAGACAGGAUUGUGCUUCAUCUUUCAUGCAAGCACACUAAAUUCCAUUACAGUCUUUUAUCAAACCUCCCAUAGAAGCAACUCCUUUCAAUCCUUACUUGCGUUAUACGUGUCAGACUCGAAUUAAAAUCGGUUGGAUGAUUAAGAACAAUAAGGUUAGGGGAAUAUGAUGUGUGGCAUUUUUCUUUUUGUUUUUAAAAGUACUAUUAGGGUUUUCAUUUAAUAAAUGACAUAAGAAAACUUUUGUUGCUUUCUCUUGCAUUAUGAAGAAAACAGUAGCCUCAAUUGUGUAUCUUACUAAGAUUAUAAAAAAGUUGAAAAGGCAAUCUCUAUGGAAAUUGGCACCUUCCCCUGCACUUUAUCUAAGAUAAAUUUAGAAUCUACUCAUCCACACGGACAAUUCUUGCCUAGACGCAAUUCAUGGUGGAUCCAAAACACAAGUGAGUGAGAUUAGGCCAGAUUCUGCAAAAUGGGACAACUACGAAAUGCCUAACCAUUAGGCCAAAACGAAGCUGCAUUAAUAGUACUCUUAAAGCACCACCUACCUAGCAAUUUUGGCUAAUGAUGCCAACAUCUAGAAUAAUAUGUAGAAUAACAAGUUUAUUUAGGUUCAUUUAAUCAUAUUAUCAAGUGAAAAAAAAUAACAAAGAGGGUAUUGAUCGUAAUAUAUUUUCCUCAUACCUCUCCUAAACACAUUCAUUCACACUCUGCUAUAGAAAAUACGGGCCCAAUUCGAUUUCCAAAGCGGCAGAAAAUUAAUAUUAACAGGUUAUGGACUCAACUCUAUAAUUAUCUUCUCCCCCCUCCUCUCCAAAUACAAACAGAGAGUAUACAGCGCAACUUCAAAGUCUAGGCUUAUAUUGAUUAAAAUGCUUGAUAUAGAUUUGAGAAUUCCAUUCCAUUCAAACUGAACUGUAAGUAAUUGGGUAUCAAAGUCAGGUUGCAAAAUAGAAAUGCUUUUUAGAUAUGAUACAGGGUGUAAUAGCAAUUCAACAUGUAAAAGACAUUGAUCUUUACAUUUGGAGGACUUCGCAUUCAACUAUAUAAACAAAAUAUAAUGUUUCUAUUAUGGAGAAUACUAAAUAAUUCUUUUUGGUGUGCCUCUAGGGAAAAGAGGCUGAGGGUUGAAUUUGAUUCUUCUAAUUAAAAUAAAAAAAAAAAAUUAAUAUAUGUGUGGGUUCAUAUCAAAAAGACACCAAAGUCCAAAUAAUGAUAAUUUAUAAUUUAUAAAGAGUUAUUAAAAGUCAAGAUUGUGACGUUAUAAAAAUUAAGAAGUGAGUAACUUAUAGGCUUUCACUUUUUUACGAUAGAGAAAGAAAAUGAGUCAUCUUUGAUCUAAUUAAAUUACUUUAAAUUUAAUUCAUUUGAAUCAAGCAAAGAUAUUGGAGUAAGGUGGUGGUAAUAAUCAAGAAAAAUAUAUACCAGACUUGUAAGAUUUUUGUACCAAAUAUGAUAUUUCGAUAAAAAUAGAAUUUUACAUCUUUUCUCGUGAUACCAUUAUAUUAGCAUAUGAAAAUAUUUUUUAAAUACACUGCAAAAUAUUUGAUAUAAAAAUUAUAUCACAAUAUUUAUUUUAAUAUAAAUUAAAUCAUUGACUUAGAGUUAAAAAUCGAUAAAAUCAGAAAAUAUUUUUUUAAAAAAAAAAUUAAAAAAAUAUUAAUUAAUAAUUAUAUUUUAUUUAUCAUAUAAAUAUUUUUGAUGAUAUUUAAAAAUUAUAUUUGUUACUAGCAGUAUAAUGAUAUUAAAUAUUACUUUUAUCUGAAUUAUCUAUAUAGAUUAAAAGCCAAAAAAAUGAAAUUAUAUAAUAUUUUUUAUUAUUUUUUUUUUAAUUUUUAAAGAUAAUGUUAAUCACCAAAAAGUUUAAGUGCCGACGGAUUCUUUCAGAACAGUUGGGAAUCAAAUGAUUUUUUUAAAUUCCUAAAUAAUAGAGAAAGCAAUAGCCUAAAUGAAAAGACUCGCGCUAACUUCACAAAAAUCAUGAAAAUCAAAUUAACAGGUCUUACAGGAGGAUCCUCAAAUAAAUGAACUCCACGAUUUAAAAAAGCUACAGAAGAAGCAAUUCAAUCAGCACACACGUUUUGCUCCACCGUAAAUAUGACAUAAUCGCACCUUUAAUUUCCCAAAAAUACAAUCUGGGACUCCAUUUGGUAUCAAAUUUCCAUGAUCUUUUCCUCCAGACAAAGGAAGAAACCUUCAUACAUGCCCAUCAACUCACAUUGCAAGAGAGGACUGUACUUCAUCUUUCUUGCAAGCACACUAAGCUUUAUUAGUCUCUUAUUAAACCUCAUCAUAGAAGCGAACUCCUCUUGGUCCCUACUUGCCUAACACAUAUCAGACUGGUAUUGGGAUGGAUAACGUUAUGGGGACAUAACGAGUGCAUUUUUCUUAAUGUUUUCAAAAGUACUAUUGGGGUUUUCAUUUAAUAUAUUAACAUAGAAAAUUUUUGCUGCAAGACACAAAUAAGUGGAAUCUCAUUUAAAUUUCAUAUAGAUCCCACUAUAUUAUACUACGAAUAAAAAAUUCGCACAAGCCAGACUCUGCAAAAUGAAGCUGCAUUAAUAGUACUCUUAAAGGACCACCUGCUUAACAACUUUGGCCUAUAAUGCCAACAUCUAGAAUAAAAUAUACGAAAACAAGUUUAUUUAGGUUCAUUUGAUCAUACUAGCAAGUCAAAGUCCUUACAAAGAGGGUAUCAAUCAUAAUAUCUUUUCCGCAUACCUCUCCCAAACGCAUUCAUUCAACACUCUGCUAUAGGAAAUACGGACCCAAUUCGAUUUCCAAAGCGGUAGCACUUAAUAUUAACAGGGUAUGGACCCAACUCCAUAUGGUUAUCUUCUCCACCCAAAUAGAAACAAAGAGUAUACAAUGCAACUUCAAACUCUGGGCUCACACCAACUAAAAUGCUUGAUACAGAUUUGAGAAUUCCAUUCCAUUCAAACUGAACAGUAAGCAACUGGGUAUCAGAGUCGGGCUGCAAAAUAGAAAUGAGCUUGAGGUAAGAUACAGGGUAUAACAGCAAUUCAACAUGUAAAAGACAUUAAUCUUUCUGUUUGGGGGGCAUGGCAUUGAAGUACAUAAACAAAAUAUAUGUUUCUACUAUGGAGACACUAAAUAAUUUAUCAUAAAAACUAAAGGGGAAUGGAUUGAUAAAUAUCUUAAUAUUGGUAACUUUGCAAGCCUGUUUAAGUCGCAUAUCAUUUAAAUGAAUACAUUUUUCAAAGUAACAUCACAACUUAUAUCCAAGAAGGCUCUUUACGUUUUUAGUCAACUGGAAAAUAUAGAAUCCGCCAUUAAAUAGGAUAUGGAUUUUUCUCUGUUUCAAAUAAGAGUUGCAAGAAAUUUUGAAAAUAGCCGAAGCUAUAAAACUCGAUCAAUAUUUAACAUUCUCAUAAAACAAUUAGAACUGCCCUUGAUAGACUCUCUUAUUAAUCAUGUUCCUUCAGCACUAAAAUUUUAGGGUCCAAAAUGGCACAGCCUAUCUCACUGUCUGAGGUAUUAUUUCUAUCUUCUAUCUGCAAAUUAAGCUUUACUUAAUUUUAAACUUUUCACAUCAACCUUAGAAGAUACAGAGUAGCAAAACUCCCUAGAGGCAAAUUGAAUAGAAGAAUAAGGUGAAGCUUCAACAAUGAAAAAAGGGGAGCAUUUCUCUUCAAAAUUAUGAUACACUGACUCCUCAGAGCAGAAAUAUAGUAAAAAGAGCUACAGGUGUAAAGAAUUGUUUCCAUACUUCAAAAGUUUAUUAUCAAUUAUAGUCUUAUAUCAACAAGAUCACUUACAAUUUGCCCACGUCGUCGGGGAAAAAUAUAACCUUGAUAAUCAACCCUUCCUUUUGCUUCUUCUAGAUAAAACUGGAAAAAAGGGACAAAAAAAGGAAAUUUAAGGACAUGUAAACGUUAUCCUUCAGCAAGAGACUAAACAAUGAUAAAGGAAUAAUGAUUCAUAAAGAAACUAAAAACAGUUAAAGUGAUCGUUGGGCACAAUUGCUGAAAUUUCCUUGCAAAAAUUCCUAAAUGCAAUUUUUGAACACAUUAGUGAGUACUAAUAACCAGCUAUUAUCCAGGUGGAUGAUCGACAGACUUUGACCAAGGAUGUCAAACAAUAUAGCUAUAAUAGCUCAUAACCUAUUGCAGCAUGAAUCCUGGAGAAUAAACGCUCCUUUCAUUGUGAUGUUGACUCUAGAGUCUAGAGGCAAGGCUAUAUCAUGAAAUGCCCAGUGUCACCUUCAAGUCCAUGCAGAAAUAAUAGUCAUUAAUGAAUAUUGAAUUCAUCGAGACAUGUGUCACGGUCCAAAGGUGUUGAGAUUCCCACAAUUCAAGGAAAAAUUGAAGCUAAUUUUACUGGCAUGUGUGGCAGCCCAAAUGAGGUUCAGUAGGCUAACUCUGCUGGCUGCAAGGUAAAAAUGCCAACUGGGGCUGAUUGGCCAGCAGGCAUGAGGAAUGGGCCUGUGAGUCCCAAGGGUGAUUGGCACUGUUAGGGAAAACAGGAAGACUUGUAGGCCAAGGGUGCCAGCAAGCGAGGUUCAUUUGGGAAAAACUGGGCCAGGCAUGGAGCCCAGCAGGCCAGGCAGGCAAGUCAAGGUAUUGGAGGUGAACCGGUGAGUGACAGGCCCAGUAGGGUGCAAUUGAGUCAGCCCAGCACGGGGGAAGGUGCUGGAAGUCAGGAGGCGUCGCUAGGCAGAACGGGGUUCAAUGGGGCUAGAACAUUCGAGAAGGUUCCAAGGGCAUCCAGAGAUGUCCAAGUGCAAAUGAGGUUCAUUGAGCGCAGAGGUAGGCAAGAGCACGCACAGGGGAACACUGGUACGCUGCGCGCACGGAGGGAUGCUGGUAGGUCGCACAUGCAGGAGCAAGUUGGUAGACCGCCUGCACAAACGAGAUGGAUAUAGGCUGGAAGAGGCACGAAGAUUCUCGAAGCUGCAAGGUUCCUCCGAAUGUUGUUGGAAGCUGUAAGGCGUGCGCAAAGAGACGUAGGCACACCGAGGACACGCGUGCCUGUGGUAGCACGAAACAAGGUUUAUAGCUGUGAGAAAUUGCCAAAAAAUUCCAAAACGUGCUAGACAACUCCCAAACUGCCUCAAAAAGAGUCAGACAUGUGGAAUAGCACCAGCCACAUGAUUUAGUCGGCCAAAUAGCCCCAUUUAGAUUCUUUUAAAGAGAAUGGAAGAAAUAGCACUAGGCACACCUUGUAAGCACUUGGUUGAGUUUCUUGUAAUAUUUGCCUUGUAAAUUUUUUUCAAGUGUAAUAUAAAGCCUAUUUCCCCAAUUCUCUUCCCUUCUUGCUAGUUUUAGCUAGUUUAGCUUCCUUCACACCCAUAGAGCUAUUUUAGCCCUUUACAACCUUUUGUUUGAUUUCUGCAACGUAUCUUGAGGGUAAGGCUUACUUAAUUCGACGGAUUAAGCUAAGUGUCGCACAGUGAGUGGUUUUUGGGGUUGGAACCGUUCAAGCCCUGAAAGAGUGAUAUUAGAGCCAGUCUUUGCCGAGGUUCACUAUUGUAAAGUGAGGUUCACUGCUACGACGUGAGGGUCAUUUGGGUGUCACUGCUGCGCAUUGAGGCUCAGUUGAGCAAAGGUGUCAUUGUUGCGACAAGCAGUUUCUGCUAAAAGAGGUUCAAUUGCCGAGAUACCAAGGGGUUGGUGUCGCUACUCCAUUGAGGUUCAGCUUGCCGAAGUGAAGUUAGUUCCAACUUGAUUCUGGGGAGAUUCUGCCGAGAUCGUUGGGCCGCUAGUUGGGCAGAAUUUUGAAGUGAGGUUAUUUCUGUUAGUCUCGAGACAAGUUGUGAAGCAGUUUUGGCAAGGGUGUAUUUUGUCGCACAAGCAUAGUCCAGCGAGGUUAACCUGCCCAAAAUUGCAUGAGGUUCAUUUCUCGGCGUUGGGGGUAGAUUUUCAGGGGAGAAAAAUCUGUGUGCUGGAAGCCUAAAGGGGUAGUCAGUGAGGUUCAUUCAGCAUGAGGCCAAAAAAGAAGAAUUUUACCUGCGUGGUGUCAAGCUGAGGGAAGUGCUUUGUUCCCCCACCCAUUGCUGCAAGGAAAAGGUUUUCAUCGAAGGAAGGGUUUUUGCCAACUAUGUCAAGCCAAAAAAAGGAAGUUGUGGCGGUUGGCUUGGGUGCUCCUAAAGGAGAGGAGCAUGGCAACCUAAGUAUAAAGUUGGAGUCAAAGAAACCUAGCCAGAUGAGAGAGGAGCUAGGGGACUUUGAAGCAAGGCUUGCAAGGGUGCAAUUGCAUCUUGUCGAUGAUGAUUAGUGGUUCAAGGAGAUGGAGUCCUGCAUUGAGGAACUCAUGUCAAGCAUGGAUGAGGUUCGCGAAGAGAUGCAAGGGGCAUUGAAUGAAGCCAUCAACAAUGUGACAAAGGAAGGUGAGUCUAGAAAAUCCUUCCUUUUUAGUGAAAUUGUCGCACUUAAGGAAGAUAAUUAGUUGUUAAAGAGAGAACUUGGGAAAUUAGUGGAGUUAAAUAGAAUGAAGGAUGAGGUGGAGAGUGUGAAGAAAAAUAGGGAUGGUGUGUCCACUUUAUUUGCUCCUUUACUAGACAAGAAGAACGUCUGCAAGGAGGAGAGACCUUUGCGUAAGUUUUACUUUUGCAAAGGUCCUCAUAAGCAUGGUGAAUGCCCAAAGAGGAGUGAGUUUGUUGUAAGGGUGCAAAGCAAUAAGGAGACUCCAUUAGAGCCAAGGGUGACAUACUUUGAUUCUUUGGAAAGUGUAUGGUGCACUAGAAUGGGUGGAUAAUUUGGUGGAGCAAGAUGAGGAAACGGGUACCUCAUCAUCGUCAUCAUUGACUUUGAAAAAGGACCUAAAGGAAUAUGGGGACCAAAAGGAGAAAUAGUUGUCGAGGGAGCUACCACCUAAGGGAGAGGUGGAUGGUGCCGUAGAGCCCAAAGUAGCUGAAAGUCCAAGGGAUGGGGUUUCGCCAAAGCGAGGGAAGCGUAGGUGACGAUGCUCGAGGAGGAGCAAAAGUAGGUGCAAGGCCAAAGGGAUGGUAAAGACACCUAGCCACGAGGACGAGAGGAAUGCUACUAGUGCACUUGUGGAGAAGGCUGAAGGCAACAAUUCGUAUGUGGAUGGACAUACGAAGAGGUCCCGCAAAACUUCGUACAAGGGUGAUGCGAGGAGGUCUAAAGAUUGCUCACGUGGUGUUAGGCAGGUGAAGAAGAUGCGACGAGAGCAUUGCGAAAAUGAGUAAGGGAGAAUGCCAUGAUCCAAAGGUGUUGAGACUAAGGAUCCCCACAAUUCGAGGAAAAAUUGGCUUUUGGCGUUGCUAGAGCCAAUUUUGCAAUUGGGCAUGUGUGGCGGCCCAAAUGAGGUUCACCGGGCUAAUUUUGCUAACUGCAAGGUAAAAAUGCCAACUGGGGCAAAUUGGCCAGCAGGCAUGAGGAACGGGCCCGUGGGUGUCAGGGGUGAUUGGCACUAUUGGGAAAACAAGCAGACUUGCAGGCUAGGGGUGCUAGCAAGGAGGUACAUUUGGAAAAAACUGGGCCAGGCGUGGAGCUCAGCAGGCCAGGCGGGCUAGACAAGACAUUGGAGGUGAACUUGUGAGUGGCAAGCCAGCGAAGUGUAAUUAGGUUAGCCCAACAUAAAGAAAGGUGCUAGAAGCUAUGGGGUGUCACUAGGCAGAACGAGAUUCAAUGGGGAUAGAACGUUCGAGAAGGUUCCAAGGGCAUCCAAAGACGUCCAGGCACAAAUGAGGUUCACUAGAGGCAGAGGCAAGCACGAGCAUGCACAAGGGGACACUAGUAGGCUGCGUGUGCAGGAACACGUUGGCAAACCGCACGCACAAACGAGGUUUAUGCGGGCUGGAAGAGGCGCAAAGAUUCUCAAAGCUACAAGGUUCCUCCGAGAGCUGGUGAAAGCUGCGAGGCGCGCACAAAAAGGACGUGUUGGCCCGUGGCAGCACUAAAC